GGCAAUUGUCAAUAAUAGCACCUUUUGAAGUUUAUGUUUCAAAAAUAGCACUAGAAGGAGAAAGUCACAAAAAUGACAUUCAUUAAAGGGUAAAAUAUCUUUAAUACACUUGGUUUAAAAUUAAAUAAACAAACAAAAAUAAAUAAAAAUAAAAAUAAAAAAAAAGAAUUUUUUUUUAUAGUUUCAGAUUAUAUGUUUUCAGAUUCGAAAUUUUUAUAAUUUUUUUUUUCGAUUUUUUUUUUAAUUUUUUUUUUCAAAUUUUCUUUUUAUAAUUUAAAAAUACUUUUUGAAACUGUUUUUAAAUUUUUAUUUUUUAUUUUCGUAUUUUUUUUUUAUAAAAUUUUAAACCCUAAUUCCAAAACCCCACCCCUUAACUCUAAACCCUAAGGUUUGGAUUAAUUAACCCAAGGGGUAUAAGUGUAUAUUUACCUCUUUAAUGAAACCUAUUUUUGUGACUUUGACCCUUGAGUGCUACUUUAGGAACAUAAACUUGGUUUAGUGCUAUUCUAGUCUUUUUCUUUAUUCGGGCAAUUGUCAAUAAUAGCACCUUUUGAAGUUUAUGUUUCAAAAAUAGCACUAGAAGGAGAAAGUCACAAAAAUGACAUUCAUUAAAGGGUAAAAUAUCUUUAAUACCCUUGGUUUAAAAUUAAAUAAACAAACAAAAAUAAAUAAAAAUAAAAAUAAAAAAAAGAAUUUUUUUUUAUAGUUUCAGAUUAUAUGUUUUCAGAUUCGAAAUUUUUAUAAUUUUUUUUUUCGAUUUUUUUUUUUAAUUUUUUUUUUCAAAUUUUCUUUUUAUAAUUUAAAAAUACUUUUUGAAACUGUUUUUAAAUUUUUAUUUUUUAUUUUCGUAUUUUUUUUUUAUAAAAUUUUAAACCCUAAUUCCAAAACCCCACCCCUUAACUCUAAACCUUAAGGUUUGGAUUAAUUAACCCAAGGGGUAUAAGUGUAUAUUUACCUCUUUAAUGAAACCUAUUUUUGUGACUUUGACCCUUGAGUGCUACUUUAGGAACAUAAACUUGGUUUAGUGCUAUUCUAGUCUUUUUCUUUAUUCGGGCAAUUGUCAAUAAUAGCACCUUUUGAAGUUUAUGUUUCAAAAAUAUCACUAGAAGGAGAAAGUCACAAAAAUGACAUUCAUUAAAGGGUAAAAUAUCUUUAAUACACUUGGUUUAAAAUUAAAUAAACAAACAAAAAUAAAUAAAAAUAAAAAUAAAAAAAAAGAAUUUUUUUUAUAGUUUCAGAUUAUAUGUUUUCAGAUUCGAAAUUUUUAUAAUUUUUUUUUCGAUUUUUUUUUUUUUUUUUUUUUUCAAAUUUUCUUUUUAUAAUUUAAAAAUACUUUUUGAAAC
rnacentral:lncRNA from 1 species